rnacentral:rRNA from 1 species
ACGGUUGAGUAACACGUGGGUGAUCUGCCUCGCACUUCGGGAUAAGCCUGGGAAACUGGGUCUAAUACCGGAUAUGACCUUUCAGUGCAUGCUGUUGGGUGGAAAGAUUUAUCGGUGCGAGAUGGGCCCGCGGCCUAUCAGCUUGUUGGCGGGGUAACGGCCCACCAAGGCGACGACGGGUAGCCGACCUGAGAGGGUGACCGGCCACACUGGGACUGAGACACGGCCCAGACUCCUACGGGAGGCAGCAGUGGGGAAUAUUGCACAAUGGGCGAAAGCCUGAUGCAGCGACGCCGCGUGAGGGAUGACGGCCUUCGGGUUGUAAACCUCUUUCGACAGGGACGAAGCGCAAGUGACGGUACCUGUAGAAGAAGCACCGGCCAACUACGUGCCAGCAGCCGCGGUAAUACGUAGGGUGCGAGCGUUGUCCGGAAUUACUGGGCGUAAAGAGCUUGUAGGCGGUUUGUCGCGUCGUCC